rnacentral:rRNA from 1 species
GAUGAACGCUGGCGGCGUGCCUAAUACAUGCAGGUCGAGCGAAUGGAUUAAGAGCUUGCUCUUAUGAAGUUAGCGGCGGACGGGUGAGUAACACGUGGGUAACCUGCCCAUAAGACUGGGAUAACUCCGGGAAACCGGGGCUAAUACCGGAUAACAUUUUGAACCGCAUGGUUCGAAAUUGAAAGGCGGCUUCGGCUGUCACUUAUGGAUGGACCCGCGUCGCAUUAGCUAGUUGGUGAGGUAACGGCUCACAAAGGCAACGAUGCGUAGCCGACCUGAGAGGGUGAUCAGCCACACUGGGACUGAGACACGGCCCAGACUCCUACGGGAGGCAGCAGUAGGGAAUCUUCCGCAAUGGACGAAAGUCUGACGGAGCAACGCCGCGUGAGUGAUGAAGGCUUUCGGGUCGUAAAACUCUGUUGUUAGGGAAGAACAAGUGCUAGUUGAAUAAGCUGGCACCUUGACGGUACCUAACCAGAAAGCCACGGCUAACUACGUGCCAGCAGCCGCGGUAA